AGUGAACGCUGGCGGUAGGCCUAACACAUGCAAGUCGAACGGCAGCACAGUAAGAGCUUGCUCUUACGGGUGGCGAGUGGCGGACGGGUGAGGAAUACAUCGGAAUCUACUUUUUCGCGGGGGAUAACGUAGGGAAACUUACGCUAAUACCGCAUACGACCUACGGGUGAAGGCAGGGGAUCUUCGGACCUUGCGCGAUUGUAUGAGCCGAUGUCGGAUUAGCUAGUUGGCGGGGUAAAGGCCCACCAAGGCGACGAUCCGUAGCUGGUCUGAGAGGAUGAUCAGCCACACUGGAACUGAGACACGGUCCAGACUCCUACGGGAGGCAGCAGUGGGGAAUAUUGGGCAAUGGGCGAAAGCCUGAUCCAGCCAUACCGCGUGGGUGAAGAAGGCCUUCGGGUUGUAAAGCCCUUUUGUUGGGAAAGAAAAGCAGCAGGUUAAUACCCCGCUGUUCUGACGGUACCCAAAGAAUAAGCACCGGCUAACUUCGUG
rnacentral:rRNA from 1 species